AUUGAACGCUGGCGGCAUGCCUAACACAUGCAAGUCGAACGUGUGGCGGACGGGUGAGUAAUGUCUGGGACCCUGCCUGAUGGAGGGGGUUAACUACUGGAAACGGUAGCUAAUACCGCAUACCAUCGGAUGUGCCCAGAUGGGCUUAGCUAGUAGGUGGGGUAAAGGCUCACCUAGGCGACGAUCCCUAGCUGGUCUGAGAGGAUGACCAGCCACACUGGAACUGAGACACGGUCCGAACUCCUACGGGAGGCAGCAGUGGGGAAUAUUGCACAUUGGGCGCAAGCCUGAUGCAGCCAUGCGGCUUGGAUGAAAAAGGCCUUCGGGUUGUAAGGUACUUUCAGCGGGGAGGCGUUACCCGCAGAGAAAGCAACGGCUAACUCCGUGCCAGCAGCCGCGGUAAUUC
rnacentral:rRNA from 1 species